GAUCAAAUUCUCUUCCAAUUCCACACAAGGCUUUAGAGAUUAGUGAGAGAGAUUUGUUGUGUUCAUUUGAGCUCUUGCGCUUGGAUUGCUUCUUUUUCUCAUUCUUUCUUGCGAUCAUCUCAAUUGUAAACAAGGCAAGAGACACCAAUUGUGUGCUGAUCCUUGCGUGAAGUUUGGUUCCCAAUUGAUUUAAGAAGAGAAGCUCACUCGAUCCGAGGGACCGUUUGAGAGAGGGAAAGGGUUAAAAGAGACCCGGUCUUUGUGACCACCUCAAUGGGGAGUAGGUUUGAGAGAACCGAACCUCGAGGAGUAAGUUGAGGCGCUUAGUGAUGACGAGCCAUCAUUGGUCAUCAAUCAGUUCAUGGAGGCUUUCGGUGUUGUGCUUGGUUUCUUGUUGGUUUGAGUGCCCCGCCAUUUGUUGAUCGUCGUCGAGAAUAUCCCGCCAUUGUUUGGCUAGUGAGCUACUUAUUUGCUAUUUUCUACGUCUCGAGGACAUGGGCGACGGAUUUUUGGAAAGCAAGACUUGUUAGCUUAUAUUUAUCUUCUAUGAUUGUUUGA